rnacentral:rRNA from 1 species
UACGUAGGUGGCGAGCGUUGUCCGGAUUUAUUGGGUUUAAAGGGUGCGUAGGCGGUCCUAUAAGUCAGUGGUGAAAUAUCGCAGCUCAACUGUGAGGGUGCCAUUGAUACUGUAGGACUUGAGUGAAUUUGAGGUAGGCGGAAUUGACGGUGUAGCGGUGAAAUGCUUAGAUAUCGUAAGGAAGACCAGUGGCGAAGGCGGGUCUCUGGACAGUUCCUGACACUGAGGCACGAAGGCCAGGGGAGCAAACGGG